UAAAACGUAGGAGCCAAGCGUUAUCCGAAUUCACUGGGCGUAAAGCGCGUGCAGGCGGUCUGAUAAGUUGGAUGUGAAAUCUCCCGGCUCAACUGGGAGAGGCCGUACAAUACUGUUGGACUAGAGGGCGACAGAGGAAGGUGGAAUUCCCGGUGUAGUGGUGAAAUGCGUAGAUAUCGGGAGGAACACCAGUGGCGAAGGCGACCUUCUGGGUCGCACCUGACGCUAAGACGCGAAAGCUAGGGUAGCAAACGGG
rnacentral:rRNA from 1 species